rnacentral:lncRNA from 1 species
CAACUAUAGAAGACAAAAGUUACACAUUAUUUAUAGAAUUAAUUCCAAUUUCAUUUUUCUUGGAUCCUGCGUGCAAACAUGUCAUGAAACUUCUGUCCGAAAUAUGUUUUGCAUCAUCCCUAUGGCCCCUUAUAGGAAGAUUCUGUUUGCCACAAAGCAAAACACACUUGCAUAUAGAUUUCAAAACAGUUCUGUUUGCCACAAGCAAAACACACACUUGCAUAUAGAUUUCAAAACAGUUCUGUUUGCUUUUAAUAAUAUAUGUUCAUUCAUUGCUUUAUCAAUAAAUGUUUGAAUAUCAGUAGUCCUUUGCUCAAUGUUGUCAAGAAAAGGUUGAGCUUUUGAUCUAGCUUCAGUAUGACUUUUUUACAUGAUUUCUCAUCACGGCCGAAAUGAUCGUUAAGUCUUGUACUUGCAUGUGCCAUAUCUGUUAGUGGUUUGCAUGAUAAUGUUCCAAAACUAUCAACCCCAAACAGAGCACAGUAUAUGCAGUAAGCUCCUCCUUGUGAAGGUGAGUACACUAGCCCAUCAUAGCGAUUUAGCCAGUUCAGCUGAAACAGUCUGUUCUUUACUGCAUAUUUUUUUGUAGGAAAGUUAU